CUGCCUGUGUCUCUGCCUUUCUCUCUCUGUGUCUCUCAUGAAUAAAUAAAUAAAAUCUUUAAAAUCCAUCCAUCCAUCCAUCCAUCCAUCCAUCCAUCCAUCAGUAGACUGAGUGAAGCAGACUGCUCUCCUUAAUGUGGCUGGGCCUCAACUAAUCAGUUGAAGGUCUGAAUAGAGCAAAAAGCUGACCCUCCCCCAACUAAGGGAGAAUUCUUCUUGUCGGAUGGCCUUUGAAUUGGCAUGUCUGCUUUUUUCCUGCCUUUGGACUUGAACUGAACAGAAACACUGGCUUUUUCUGGGUCCUGAACCUGUCAGCCUUAGCACUGGAACUACAAUAUAGGCUCUCCUGCUUCUCAGACAUUCAGACUCACACUAGAAUUACCCUGCUGCCUCUCCUGAGUCUCCAGCUUACCAACUUACCCUGUGGAUCCUGGGACUUGCCCAUCUCUAUAAUCAGCCAUGACAAUGGAUGCUGCAAAGGUCAACCCUGGGGCUCCUGUUGCCUAAUCCAUUUAGUGAGGGUUGGAGGCGGAAAUGAGCUGAUGAAGUUUGUUGUCGAUCCAGACACGUUUCAGCUGGCCGGCCAAGAGACCUGUGAGAAACUCCAGAUGGAGUUAAUCUCCUGUGUGUCCCAGGCGAGGACAGUGGCUAAACUUUAACCUGAGCCCACUCAAGGUUCCAUGUGGUGGCUCCUGAAAACUCCAGGCUCCUAUCAUCUUCACUGCUCGGAUCUCCUGGGGGUAGGGAGGUGGGGAAAAGAUGGUGUGUGUCCCUCUCCCAAGGGUGACAGCAAAAGUCCCAUUGUGUGUCACUCUUUCUGAUUGGGUCCCCUGGCCAUUCCUGGUAGUUACGGGUGGGGCCACCUUACCAGCAGGAUGGGGCCUGGGGCAGGGGAGGUGCCUCCCUAGAGGAAAAUCAUAGUCCAGUUGCCAGGAGGGGAAAUGGUUGCUGGGCAGUGAAACAAUGGGUAUCUAUUAUACCCAUAUUUGCAUUGUACUUUUCUGUGUGUGUGUGUGUGUGUAUGUGUGUUUGUGUCUGCUGUGUGUUAUUCCACAUUGGACACCUGACCUUCUCCUGGCUGUUCCUCAAAUGCUUUAGCUUCCUCCAUCCCAUGUAGGUCUUAAAUGUUUCCUACUCAGUGAAACUUGCCCUAAACAUGCCAUUCUUAAAAUGUAACAUCCCUCUACUUCUCCAUUAAGAUAUUGCAGUUUUUGGGCAGCCCGGGUGGCUCAGCGGUUUAGCACCGCUUUCGGUCCAGGGCGUGAUCCUGGAAACCCAGGAUUGAGUCCCACGUCAGGCUCCCUGCAUGGAGCCUGCUUCUCCC